GGCCUUCGAAGAGGUUAAAAAACCUCUUCGACUGGAAAGGCCUUCCAGUCGAAGAGGUUCUGUAACCCCUUUGACCGGAAGGAUUCCUUCCAGUCGAAGUGGUUUUGUAACCUCUUCAACCGGAAGGCCUUUCCAGUCAAAGAGGUUUUGUAACCUCUUCAACUGGAAGGCC
rnacentral:miRNA from 1 species